AGCAGUAUGGUGUAAAAUCUGCACACGGGGUUCCACCAGCAUGAUCCAGGAAAAUUAAUCCCCGAGGUCCUUGUUCGAACCAAGGUACUGCUC